rnacentral:rRNA from 1 species
UACGUAGGGUGCAAGCGUUGUCCGGAAUUAUUGGGCGUAAAGAGCUCGUAGGCGGUUUGUCGCGUCGAAUGUGAAAACCCGGGGCUCAACUCCGGGCCUGCAUUCGAUACGGGCAGCCUAGAGUUCGGUAGGGGAGUCUGGAAUUCCUGGUGUAGCGGUGAAAUGCGCAGAUAUCAGGAGGAACACCGGUGGCGAAGGCGGGACUCUGGGCCGAUACUGACGCUGAGGAGCGAAAGCGUGGGGAGCGAACAGG